UCUCGGGUGGCACAGUGUAAAGGUAAUGGGCUUGUAACUCAAAGGUUGUGGGUUCGAUCCCCUGCUGGGGUG
rnacentral:tRNA from 1 species